rnacentral:ncRNA from 1 species
UAAGAGGGAAUCCGGUGUGAAUCCGGGACUGCCCCGCAGCGGUGAGUGGGAACGACCACCGUCAUCGAGCACUGGCGCCCUGCGCCGGGAAGCGACGGUCAGUAGGUGUCCGGCGUGUCCGGGCGCGCCCACGAGUCCGAAGACCU